AUUGAACGCUGGCGGCAUGCCUUACACAUGCAAGUCGAACGGUAACAGGGAGCUUGCUCCGCUGACGAGUGGCGAACGGGUGAGUAAUGUAUCGGAACGUACCAUUCAGUGGGGGAUAACGUAGCGAAAGUUACGCUAAUACCGCAUAUUCUGUGAGCAGGAAAGCAGGGGAUCGCAAGACCUUGCGCUGAAUUGAGCGGCCGAUAUCAGAUUAGCUAGUUGGUGAGGUAAAGGCUCACCAAGGCGACGAUCUGUAGCGGGUCUGAGAGGAUGAUCCGCCACACUGGAACUGAGACACGGUCCAGACUCCUACGGGAGGCAGCAGUGGGGAAUUUUGGACAAUGGGGGCAACCCUGAUCCAGCCAUGCCGCGUGAGUGAAGAAGGCCUGGUUGUAAGUCUUCGUCCGGGAAAAGUACGACAUCAGUAAUACCUAGUGUGGAGUGAUGGUACCGGAAGUAAGAAGACACGCGUAACUAACGUACG
rnacentral:rRNA from 1 species